CGGAGGAUCCAAGCGUUAUCCGGAUUUAUUGGGUUUAAAGGGUGCGUAGGCGGCUUAUUAAGUCAGGGGUGAAAGACGGUGGCUCAACCAUCGCAGUGCCCUUGAUACUGAUGAGCUUGAAUGAACUAGAGGUAGGCGGAAUGUGACAAGUAGCGGUGAAAUGCAUAGAUAUGUCACAGAACACCGAUUGCGAAGGCAGCUUACUAUGGUUUUAUUGACGCUGAGGCACGAAAGCGUGGGGAUCAAACAGGAUUAGAUACCCUGGCAGUCCACGCCCUAAACGAUGAAUACUCGCUGUUAGCGAUAUACAGUUAGCGGCUAAGCGAAAGCGUUAAGUAUUCCACCUGGGGAGUACGCCCGCAAGGGUG
rnacentral:rRNA from 1 species